rnacentral:rRNA from 1 species
AUGAACGCUAGCUACCGGCUUAACCCAUGCCAGUCGCGGGGCAGCAUGGGGGUUGCUUGCACUCCCCGAUGGCGACCGGCGCACGGGUGAGUAACGCGUAUCCAACCUGCCCUUCACCACGGGAUAACCCGGCGAAAGUCGGACUAAUACCGUAUGUUGUCCAUUGACGGCAUCCGAUUUGGACGAAAGGCUUGGCGGUGAGGGAUGGGGAUGCGUCCGAUUAGCCAGACGGCGGGGUAACGGCCCACCGUGGCUACGAUCGGUAGGGGUUCUGAGAGGAAGGUCCCCCACACUGGAACUGAGACACGGUCCAGACUCCUACGGGAGGCAGCAGUGAGGAAUAUUGGUCAAUGGGCGUAAGCCUGAACCAGCCAAGUAGCGUGCAGGAUGACGGCCCUAUGGGUUGUAAACUGCUUUUAUGCGGGGAUAAAGUGGCCCACGUGUGGGCUUUUGCAGGUACCGCAUGAAUAAGGACCGGCUAAUUCCGUG